UCAGAUAAAUUUUCAUUUUUUUUUUUAUAAAAACUUUUCAUAUUCUUAUUCUAUUAAAUUUUUAUAAUUAAAUAUUUUAUAAGUUGAAGACUAGCGCCAUUGAUUUUCUUAUUGCAUCAUUAAUUUUUGAGUUCACUACAGCAGAAGCAUUUUUUCAAUAAAUCAACGUAUUUUUCGCUGGUACAUCUCAAAAAGCGACAUUAAAUUUCAAAUGAUUUACAGAAACAAUACAAAAAAGUUACUUUCCUAGAAUGUAAAACUAUGGUUUUUUGAAACUAUAUAUGUUAACUUAACAAUGUAUAAAUAUCCUUAAUAAUAUAAAAAUAUUUUUAUGCUUUUUAA